rnacentral:rRNA from 1 species
AUUGAACGCUGGCGGCAUGCCUUACACAUGCAAGUCGAACGGCAGCACGGAUGCUUGCACCUGGUGGCGAGUGGCGAACGGGUGAGUAAUACAUCGGAACGUACCUUAUCGUGGGGGAUAACGCAGCGAAAGUUGCGCUAAUACCGCAUACGCCCUGAGGGGGAAAGCGGGGGACCGUAAGGCCUCGCGCGAUUAGAGCGGCCGAUGUCUGAUUAGCUUGUUGGUGAGGUAAAAGCUCACCAAGGCGACGAUCAGUAGCUGGUCUGAGAGGACGAUCAGCCACACUGGGACUGAGACACGGCCCAGACUCCUACGGGAGGCAGCAGUGGGGAAUUUUGGACAAUGGGGGCAACCCUGAUCCAGCAAUGCCGCGUGAGUGAAGAAGGCCUUCGGGUUGUAAAGCUCUUUUGUCAGGGAAGAAACAGCAGCUCUAACACAGUCUGCGAAUGACGGUACCUGAAGAAUAAGCACCGGCUAACUACGUGCCAGCCGCCGCGGUAA